GUCCCGCCCCGCCCAGCGCGCACUGAGCCGGCUGCGCCCGGGGCCCCGCGGGGCGAGCGCCGGGGACGCGGCCCCAGCCCGAGGGUCCCGCAGCAGGCGCUGUCCAGCGUCGCAGCCCCGAUACCAGGCUAGAUGGGCCCCUGCUCUCACUGGGCCUGGCAGGUCCCGAGCAGCAGCUUGUGCAUCCCCCAGAGCCUGGACACGCAGGGAGGUGGCCAGGAGCAUCUGCCAGGCAGAGUGGACCCUGUACAGAGACCCAGUGCGGGAAGACAUGCAGGAGCCCAAGUUCACAGCUGCUGUGGCCUUGGCACCUCCUUCAGCCCUUUCCUAGAGCAAAGAGCUGCCAGAAAUCUCCUCCCCGUGGCCGUGCUCGGCUACCCAGCUCAGUGCUCUGUAGCCCCAGGGAACCGUCCUGGUCAGGCAGUUCUCAAGCUGCAUCGGGAAACUAGGCGACGGAGCCAUGAGUGAGAGCGA
rnacentral:lncRNA from 1 species